AUUGAACGCUGGCGGCAGGCUUAACACAUGCAAGUCGAGCGAGCGGCGGACGGGUGAGUAAUUUCUGGGAAACUGCCUGAUGGAGGGGGAUAACUACUGGAAACGGUAGCUAAUACCGCAUACCAUCAGAUGUGCCCAGAUGGGAUUAGCUAGUUGGUAGGGUAAUGGCUUACCUAGGCGACGAUCCCUAGCUGGUCUGAGAGGAUGACCAGCCACACUGGAACUGAGACACGGUCCAGACUCCUACGGGAGGCAGCAGUAGGGAAUAUUGCACAAUGGGCGAAAGUCUGAUGCAGCAAUGCCGCGUGUGUGAAGAAGGCCUUCGGGUUGUAAAGCACUUUCAGCGGGGAGGCGGUAAUCGAAGAAGAAGCACCGGCUAACUCCGUGCCAGCAGCCGCGGUAAUAC
rnacentral:rRNA from 1 species